rnacentral:rRNA from 1 species
UACGUAGGGGGCAAGCGUUGUCCGGAUUUACUGGGCGUAAAGAGCGUGUAGGCGGCCAAGCAGGUCCGUUGUGAAAACUGGAGGCUUAACCUCCAGACGUCGACGGAAACCGUGUGGCUAGAGUCCGGAAGAGGAGAGUGGAAUUCCUGGUGUAGCGGUGAAAUGCGCAGAUAUCAGGAAGAACACCAAUGGCGAAGGCAGGUCUCUGGGCAUUAACUGACGCUGAGGAGCGAAAGCAUGGGGAGCGAACAGG